UCUCCGCCACCUCCACCGCA
rnacentral:miRNA from 1 species